CAGCGCUAUGGGGCAGCCAUGGGGCAGCGCUAUGGGGCAGCACUAUGGGGCAGCUAUGGGUCAGCGCUAUGGGGCAGCUAUGGGGCAGCGCUAUGGGGCAGCGCUAUGGGGCAGCGCUAUGGGGCAGCGCUAUGGGGCAGUGCUAUGGGGCAGCUAUGGGGCAGCGCUAUGGGGCAGCGCUAUGGGGCAGCUAUGGGGCAGCGCUAUGGGGCAGCGCUAUGGGGCAGACUCACCCACGACGGAUGUGGGGCAGUGUGGGGCUCUGCCGAAGGCGCACUGCGCCGGCCCCUCGGGCAGCGCGAAGCUGCACAGCGACCACUGCGACUCCGCGUAGGGGCCCAGCACCGGGCCCACGCCGCCCACCCGCGCCAGCCUGCAAUUAACGAACGGCCGUUAAUUAGCGCCCUCGUUAACGAGCCGCCUCGUUAGGGGGCCCUCGUUCAUUGCCCGCUGUGUGUCUGUGUGUGUGUGUGGGGGGGUGAGGAUACUGAGGGGGUUCUCGCGCCCGCCCCACCGUCAUGCGGCUAAUUAGCGCCCUAAUUAACGCCUUCGUUAUUAGGUCGUUAAUGAAGUCGCUGAGGGAUUAAUGAAGGCGUUGAUGGAGGGAUUUGUUAAGGGAUGAAUGGAGCCGUGAGCUCGCGGUGAUUUCUCGCCCCCCCGCGGGGCAGACGGCAAUUAGCGCAAUUAAUGCCCUCAUGAGGCCGCUAAUUAAGUCGUCCGUUAAUUAAUUCGUGUUAUUAGUGGGUGGAGGCCCCGCUGGGAAGACCCUGGGGGAAUCCGUGGGGAGUUCCCAGCCGGCAAUUAGUGCAAUUAGGGCAAUUAAUGGCCUAAUUAGGCCACUAAUAAACUCGUUAAUUAGCUCGUUAAGGGCGUAAUU
rnacentral:lncRNA from 1 species